GAUGUUAGUAUGUUAAAAAAGAGCGCAGGAUUCCUAAUCCUGAGGCCACUGGUUCGAAUCCAGUUGGGAUCA
rnacentral:tRNA from 1 species